GUUAUGGUACAAAUAGACUUGAUUGUACUGAUAAUUUUCAGCUUGCACAUGGAUCCCUUAUAGUAUGCAAUCAAGCUUGAUGAUAAAAUCUUGGAGAGACACUAGGUGCCAGGUUGGAGAUUUGGGAUCGGAUGCGCCAAUAACAAGGGACCAAGGUGCUGAACUAAUGG